AGCGGGGUGGGGUAGCCAGGAAAUCCCGCCGGGCUCAUAAAGCCCCUUUAAAAAGCGGCUUUACCCGUAAAGGGGCUUGCGAGACCCGGAGAUCGGUGGUUCAAAUCCACCCCCCGCUA
rnacentral:tRNA from 1 species